CAGUUCGGAUUGAAGGCUGAAAUUCGCCUUCCAUGAAGCUGGAAUUGCUAGUAAUGGCAGGUCAGCAUACUGCCGUGAAUACGUUCCCGGGCCUUGUACACACCGCCCGUCACACCAUGAGAGUUGGAAAUGCCCGAAGUCAGUGACCCAACCGUAAGGAGGGAGCUGCCGAAGGUGGAGCCGGUAACUGGGGUGAAGUCGUAACAAGGUAAC
rnacentral:rRNA from 1 species